GGCGCAGAGUCGCUGUAAUGAAAGCUCGGGAAGUUAUGGAGCGAAAGGAUACGAUCCCAGUGAUUAAUGCCAAAGCCCUGUUGCCUGGGGAGAGGGUGAUGCUUGACUUUCUUGUACAGCUGCAGUUUGUGGGGUGAAGGUGCUCCCACAAUGUGGUUGGAGCAACAAAAGCCACGAAGCAGUGCGCAUGCUCCAGCCAACAAUGGUCACAAGAUGAUUGAUGUCAGCGGUGGACCAAUGGACGUACAGGGGCGGGGCUGGAGGACCUGGCGAGGCGGUUGGCCCUCCGACCAAUCAGAGUGAAUGAGAGGCGGGACUUGAUUAUACCACGUGAUCAUCCUCGCGGACAGCGCGGCUGUGCGGGCGGAGAGCUGUCGCACAACCAGAACUGGACAGAGUAUUCCAGAAGAGGCCUCCCCAACGUCCUGUACAUCCUCAACAUAACGUCCCAACUCCUGUACUCCAAGGUCUGAACAAUGAAGAUCCCAGUGAUUAAUGCCAAAGCCCUGUUGCCUGGGGAGAGGGUGAUGUUUGACUUUCUUGUACAGCUGCAGUUUGUGUGGUGAAGGUGCUCCCACAAUGUGGUUGGGUUGUUAAGGCGGAGAGGUGGCCUACUGUUCCUGUCGGGUGCGGAAGAUUAGGGAGAGUUUCAAUGAACCUGAUGAUUUGUCUGCAAGAAGUGUGAUUGCAAAUCCUAUUGGAUCACAUGGAUUGGUGGCGGAGUGAUUAAAGGCAGUGAGGAAUUGACAGGAGCCCGGGAGUGUGAUAGGCAGCAGUCUCAGGAUACUGCAGAUACAGUCAGGAUGAGGCUGUCACUGGCUCGGCCAGCAUUUAUUGCUGCGUUUACCCAGUGGGCAGUUAAGAAUCAACCACGUUGCUAUAGGUCUGGAGUCCCAUGCAGACCAGACCAGAUACCAGUGAUUAAUGCCAAAGCCCCAUUGCCUGUGGAGAAGGUGAUGUUUGACGUCCUGUACAGCUGCAAUUCGUGUGGUGAAGGUGCUCCCACAAUGUGGUUGGGUCACCGUUCAGCCUCUGACGGUCCAGGGAAAACAGCCUAUCCAUCCCUGGCAACAUCCUGGACUUCUUUUCUGACCCUUUUCAAGUUUGAGAACAGCCAUCUGAUAGGAAGGAGACCAGAAUUGCAUGGAAUAUUACGAAGUCGCCGAAUCAAUGUCCUGUACAGCUGCAAUAUGACCUCCCAACCCCUACACUCAAUGCUCUGACCAAUAAAGGCAAGCAGACCAACUGCCGCCUUCACUAAUCUAUCUACUUGCUUCUCUACUUUCAAGGAACUGUGAACCUGCACUCCAAGGACUCUUUGUUUAGCAGCACUCUCCUGGAACUUACUUUAAACUGGUGCUUAAUGGUGAAGAUUUGCAGACUGACAUCUCAAACUCCUGUGCAGAUUGUGAUUAAGUUAACCAGCAUUUGAAGAACCAAAGAUGGAGAAUAACUUGGGCAAAAUCCAGCAACCCUGUCCCUCCCAGCAUUGUUGGUCUAUCUGCACCAAAUGGGCUGUGAAUGGUUCAAGACAGCAGCUCACUCCCAUCUUCUCAAGGGUAACUAGAGAUGGGGAAUAAAUGCUGGCUGAGCCAGUGAUGCCCAUAUCCUGGAAAUGGUUUCUAUCUCUAGUUGCUGAAACCCAGUUGAUGUUACUGCAGGAUGGUGAGGGAUGCUGAGUGCAUCCUCCAGGAGGCAGCACCAUCACAUUACCCCUGCCUAUACCCACACAGUAACACAGCAACGUCACUGGAACAAAAGGCAGUGAAGCCAAAGGAGGACUUAGAUAUAGUUCUUCGAGGUAAAGUCAUGAAAGGGAAUUGGAACACAGCAGGAACAGGAGACUGAGCUGGAUGGUCAGCUGUUUCCCAUUGAAUGUGGAGCAGGAUUAAAGGGCUGAAUGGUCUCCUCCUGCUGCUAUCUCCCAGGUAUGUAUAUAGCCAUAGAGCCCGGGUAGGAAGAAGUAGGCAGGGCAGGGAUUCUCCAGGCGAAUGCACUUCCACAUCCGGGUUCAGCGGGAAGGGAUCAAAUCAAAGUAGAGUUGGGGGUGAGGAGGCAGCGAUGGAGAUAAAGCACUGUAUCCACUGCGGUGCCCAUCUCUAUCUAAAGACAACGGGAGAAUUGAUAAAAGCUACGUGCUCCUUCUCCAAGGACACCCUGUUGUAUCACCUUUAUCCUCAAUCAUAGAAUAGAAUCCCGACAGUGUGGAAGGAGAGCAUUGGCCCAUCAAAUCCCACCAGCUAUCCAAAGAGCAUCCCAUCUGGAGCACUCCACCCCUGUAACACUGCAUUUCCCAUGGCAGAUCCACAGAGUCUGAACAAUCCUGGACACUGGACAAUUUAGCAUGACUGAUCCACCUAACCCACAAAUCUUUGGACUGUGGGAGGAAACCAGAGCACCUGGAGUGGACCCACACUAUCCUGGGGAGAAUGUGCAAACUCCACACAGGCUGUUGACCAAGGCUGGACUCUAACCUUGUACCUGGUGCUGUGGAGCAGCAGUGCUAUAGAGCAAUUUAAAUCAAAACAGAUGACCCCUGCUCAUUGCUGUUUGUGGAGACUUAUUGCCCAGAGAGACAUCCUGAGAUUCAGAAAGAGACAAUAUGAAUUCAAUCAACUCCUGCUGAGUUAAUGUGAUUAACAACAACAUCAAUACUCCAACAGCGUCAUCAGACCUCGUACCUACUCUAUCAUUUACAAUUUUUAACCCAUGGGAAGUUUGUUACCAGCUUCGAUGACAGCCAUAAUGCUCUGACCACUUUGACAGAGCCAGUGCUCGUCAGUUCUCAUAGUUAUCAAUAGAUUGAAUCUAAACAGGAUGCCCCACAACAGGAAGUGCUCUAACACUCAAUGCCCGUAAGGCAAGGUCAUUUUCCUAAAACCACUCACGACUGGCAAUACCAUUGAAGAUAUUUUAUACAGUAACCUUUCUGUCUCAAUUGCCAGUUCCAGUCCAUGACACAGCCAGUAACAUGCCAGUGAAUUGAAUUCUAACAGCAGCAUUGCCCUGGCAGGAGAGAUUGAGGAGCUUGAAGCUGUCUUCUCUGGAGUAUCUAAACAUGAAACACUUCAAAUGAACAAAAAUCUUCAAGAGCUCGAGAGAAUGUAUACAGGAAGGAUGUGCUCCUAGGCUGGUGUGCCUGGAAUGAAAUAAACACUAACUACGGUAUCUUUACCCAGCAUCCCCUUUAGCUGCAUAAAUGUUGAGGAUUUAUUUGCUGCUCUGAUUCCACUCUCUCCAUCACUCCCAUUUUUCACUGCUGUAAUGUUGAUGACUGUGCAAAUGUAUAAAAUUUAAUUUAAUCCA